UACGUAGGGUGCAAGCGUUGUCCGGAAUCAUUUGGGCGUAAAGCGCGCGUAGGCGGCCCUGUAAGUCCGUUGUGAAAAGUCGAAGGCUCAACCUCGAAUGCCGGUGGAUACUGUCGGGCUAGAGUGCGGGAGAGGCGAGUGGAAUUCCUGGUGUAGCGGUGAAAUGCGCAGAUAUCAGGAGGAACACCAUUGCGAAGGCAGCUCGCUGGAACGUAAACUGACGCUGAGACGCGAAAAGCGUGGGGGAGCAAACAGG
rnacentral:rRNA from 1 species